rnacentral:rRNA from 1 species
CAGCAGCCACGGUAAUACGUAGGUGGCGAGCGUUGUCCGGAAUUAUUGGGCGUAAAGGGCUCGCAGGCGGUUUCUUAAGUCUGAUGUGAAAGCCCCCGGCUCAACCGGGGAGGGUCACUGGAAACUGGGAAACUUGAGUGCAGAAGAGGAGAGUGGAAUUCCACGUGUAGCGGUGAAAUGCGUAGAGAUGUGGAGGAACACCAGUGGCGAAGGCGACUCUCUGGUCUGUAACCGACGCUGAGGAGCGAAAGCGUGGGGAGCGAACAGGAUUAGAUACCCGAGUAGUCCCUGUCUCUUAUAC